rnacentral:rRNA from 1 species
UACAGAGGGGGCAAGCGUUGUUCGGAAUUACUGGGCGUAAAGGGCGCGUAGGCGGCCCGCUAAGUCGAACGUGAAAUCCCUGGGCUCAACCCAGGAACUGCGUCCGAUACUGGCGGGCUUGAAUCCGGGAGAGGGAUGUGGAAUUCCAGGUGUAGCGGUGAAAUGCGUAGAUAUCUGGAGGAAUACCGGUGGCGAAGGCGGCAUCCUGGACUAACACUGACGCUGAGGUGCGAGAGCGUGGGGAGCGAACCGG